rnacentral:rRNA from 1 species
ACGCUGGCGGCGUGCUUAACACAUGCAAGUCGAACGGUGAACACGGAGCUUGCUCUGUGGGAUCAGUGGCGAACGGGUGAGUAACACGUGAGCAACCUGCCCCUGACUCUGGGAUAAGCGCUGGAAACGGCGUCUAAUACUGGAUACGAGUAGCGGCCGCAUGGUCAGUUACUGGAAAGAUUUAUUGGUUGGGGAUGGGCUCGCGGCCUAUCAGCUUGUUGGUGAGGUAAUGGCUCACCAAGGCGUCGACGGGUAGCCGGCCUGAGAGGGUGACCGGCCACACUGGGACUGAGACACGGCCCAGACUCCUACGGGAGGCAGCAGUGGGGAAUAUUGCACAAUGGGCGGAAGCCUGAUGCAGCAACGCCGCGUGAGGGAUGACGGCCUUCGGGUUGUAAACCUCUUUUAGCAGGGAAGAAGCGAAAGUGACGGUACCUGCAGAAAAAGCACCGGCUAACUACGUGCCAGCAGCCGCGGUAAUACGUAGGGUGCAAGCGUUAUCCGGAAUUAUUGGGCGUAAAGAGCUCGUAGGCGGUUUGUCGCGUCUGCUGUGAAAUCCGGAGGCUCAACCUCCGGCCUGCAGUGGGUACGGGCAGACUAGAGUGCGGUAGGGGAGAUUGGAAUUCCUGGUGUAGCGGUGGAAUGCGCAGAUAUCAGGAGGAACACCGAUGGCGAAGGCAGAUCUCUGGGCCGUUACUGACGCUGAGGAGCGAAAGGGUGGGGAGCAAACAGGCUUAGAUACCCUGGUAGUCCACCCCGUAAACGUUGGGAACUAGUUGUGGGGUCCAUUCCACGGAUUCCGUGACGCAGCUAACGCAUUAAGUUCCCCGCCUGGGGAGUACGGCCGCAAGGCUAAAACUCAAAGGAAUUGACGGGGACCCGCACAAGCGGCGGAGCAUGCGGAUUAAUUCGAUGCAACGCGAAGAACCUUACCAAGGCUUGACAUAUACGAGAACGGGCCAGAAAUGGUCAACUCU